rnacentral:rRNA from 1 species
AGAGUUUGAUCCUGGCUCAGGAUGAACGCUGGCGGCGUGCUUAACACAUGCAAGUCGAACGGGAAUUACUUUAUUGAAACUUCGGUCGAUUUAAUUUAAUUCUAGUGGCGGACGGGUGAGUAACGCGUGGGUAACCUGCCUUAUACAGGGGGAUAACAGUCAGAAAUGGCUGCUAAUACCGCAUAAGCGCACAGAGCUGCAUGGCUCAGUGUGAAAAACUCCGGUGGUAUAAGAUGGACCCGCGUUGGAUUAGCUUGUUGGUGGGGUAACGGCCCACCAAGGCGACGAUCCAUAGCCGGCCUGAGAGGGUGAACGGCCACAUUGGGACUGAGACACGGCCCAGACUCCUACGGGAGGCAGCAGUGGGGAAUAUUGGGCAAUGGGCGCAAGCCUGACCCAGCAACGCCGCGUGAAGGAAGAAGGCUUUCGGGUUGUAAACUUCUUUUGUCAGGGACGAGUAGAAGACGGUACCUGACGAAUAAGCCACGGCUAACUACGUGCCAGCAGCCGCGGUAAUACGUAGGUGGCAAGCGUUGUCCGGAUUUACUGGGUGUAAAGGGCGUGUAGCCGGGAGGGCAAGUCAGAUGUGAAAUCCACGGGCUCAACUCGUGAACUGCAUUUGAAACUACUCUUCUUGAGUAUCGGAGAGGCAAUCGGAAUUCCUAGUGUAGCGGUGAAAUGCGUAGAUAUUAGGAGGAACACCAGUGGCGAAGGCGGAUUGCUGGACGACAACUGACGGUGAGGCGCGAAAGCGUGGGGAGCAANACAGGAUUAGAUACCCUGGUAGUCCACGCUGUAAACGA